rnacentral:rRNA from 1 species
AUUGAACGCUGGCGGCAUGCUUUACACAUGCAAGUCGAACGAGUGGCGAACGGGUGAGUAACGCAUCGGAACCUACCGAGUCAUGGGGGAUAACUGUUCGAAAGGACAGCUAAUACCGCAUACUAUUCGAGCGGCCGAUGUCUGAUUAGCUGGUGGGCGGGGUAAAGGCGCACCAAGGCGACGAUCAGUAGCGGGUCUGAGAGGAUGAUCCGCCACACUGGGACUGAGACACGGCCCAGACUCCUACGGGAGGCAGCAGUGGGGAAUAUUGGACAAUGGGCGCAAGCCUGAUGCAGCCAUGCCGCGUGUAUGAAGAAGGCCUUAGGGUUGUAAAGGACUUUUAGCAGGGAGGCGGUACCUGAAGAAUAAGCACCGGCUAACUACGUGCCAGCAGCCGCGGUAAUUC